GACAUCCCUGCAGUCUGGGGGUCCUUCGGCUUCUGUGAUGCGCGGUGCAGAGGCAGGAGAGCGCUGCAAACCCGCAGCCCGGGGGGGUGGGGGGAGUGUGUGUGGGGGUGUGGGGGGCGGAGGGGGCUCCCCCCUCCCCGCCCCACACUAACACCUGGUCCCUUCUCCGCUCGGUCAGGGGCCUGGCUGCGCCACUGCUCAGCGCCCCGGCUUAGGCAAGAAUUGGAGCAACUGGGGGAACUGGCGAGGAAGAUACUGCUGCUUCUGCCAGAAGUUCAGCAGAUGAGUGAGAGAGAACAAAGACUGGCUGGAGCUCCAGUUCUGCUAUGUCAUUGCUAUGUGACCCUUCUGAGCUCCCAUUUCCUUGUAAGUAAAGUGGGAACUACCUAGAUUGUCACAAGUCUUUGGGGAAGUUAUACAGUUCUUUCCCAGCUAGUUGCCUAUAGGUAAAUCUUUAUUCUCCAUGUGCUCUAUCAUACAUAUUAGAACUGCUUGGGUGACACUUAAGUGAAAUUUGUCAACUUUUAUUGAUCUUAUAAACUCCACUUUAUACAUAUUGUUGGAUAAAACCAUUCUUUUUAUAUUCUUAGACACACUGCUAAUAGUCUUAGUAAAACUCCUUUUAAAUUUUCAAUCAAUAAGUAGGGCUAUAUCACCUACCCAAUUAUCCAGGAAGUGUU
rnacentral:lncRNA from 12 species